rnacentral:rRNA from 1 species
UACGGAGGGUGCAAGCGUUAAUCGGAAUUACUGGGCGUAAAGCGCACGUAGGUGGUUUUCUAAGUCAGCUGUGAAAUCCCCGGGCUCAACCUGGGAACUUGCAGUUCGAAACUGGAAAGCUAGAGUAGGGUAGAGGGGUGUGGAAUUCCAGGUGUAGCGGUGAAAUGCGUAGAUAUCUGGAAGGAACAUCAGUGGCGAAGGCGACACCCUGGACUCAUACGACACUGAGGUGCGAAAGCGUGGGGAGC